rnacentral:lncRNA from 1 species
CUGGGAUAUGUGCGAUAAUUCAGAGCUGCACGUAAAGUAGAUGAGACACAGCAUUUAACGAGGUUCGGCUAUGCUUACGUCCUCGGAGAGCAGCAGCAGUAACUUUUUCACUAAAUAAAAUAAUAGGGCUACAACUUUAGAGUUUACAAUAUGUAAGGCUCACUGAAGUUUCUCUUUGCUCACUCACCCUAUUUCUUCCUUCUCUUCCUCUUCUUUGCCUGACUCUCUUUCCUCUUUUCUUUUUCCUCUUCUCUCUUUCCUCUUAUCUUUCCUCCUUUCCCUUUCCUCUUCUCUCUUUCCUCCUUUCUCUUUCUUUCUUUCCGUUUCUCCCUUUCUCUUCUAUCUUCUCUUCUUUUUCACUUUGCAGGUUGCCUAUUUAUAGGCAGAUUGGUGCAACCCUCGUGAGUGUGCAGUAAG